rnacentral:rRNA from 1 species
AUACGUAGGGGGCGAGCGUUGUCCGGAAUGAUUGGGCGUAAAGGGCGCGUAGGCGGCGCGGUAAGUCUGGAGUGAAAGUCCUGCUUUCAAGGUGGGAAUUGCUUUGGAUACUGCCGCGCUUGAGUGCAGGAGAGGUUAUCGGAAUUCCCGGUGUAGCGGUGAAAUGCGUAGAGAUCGGGAGGAACACCAGUGGCGAAGGCGGGUAACUGGACUGCAACUGACGCUGAGGCGCGAAAGUGUGGGGAGCAAACAGGAUUAGAUACCCUGGUAGUCCACACUGUAAACGAUGAAUGCUAGGUGUAAGAGGUAUCGACCCCUUUUGUGCCGGAGUCAACACAAUAAGCAUUCCGCCUGGGGAGUACGGCCGCAAGGUUGAAACUCAAAUGAAUUGGCGGG